rnacentral:rRNA from 1 species
UGAGGAAUAUUGGUCAAUGGACGCAAGUCUGAACCAGCCAAGUAGCGUGCAGGAUGACGGCCCUAUGGGUUGUAAACUGCUUUUAUAUGGGGAUAAAGUGGGGAACGUGUUCCCUUUUGCAGGUACCAUAUGAAUAAGGACCGGCUAAUUCCGUGCCAGCAGCCGCGGUAAUACGGAAGGUUCGGGCGUUAUCCGGAUUUCUUGGGUUUAAAGGGAGCGUAGGCCGUUUGGUAAGCGUGUUGUGAAAUGUAGGAGCUCAACUUCUAGAUUGCAGCGCGAACUGUCAGACUUGAGUGCGCACAACGUAGGCGGAAUUCAUGGUGUAGCGGUGAAAUGCUUAGAUAUCAUGAAGAACUCCGAUUGCGAAGGCAGCUUACGGGAGCGCAACUGACGCUGAAGCUCGAAGGUGCGGGUAUCGAACAGG